AGAACGAACGCUGGCGGCAUGCUUAACACAUGCAAGUCGAACGUGAUCUUCGGGCUUCGGCCUGGGGUGAAAGUGGCGGACGGGUGAGUAACGCGUGGGAACCUGCCCAGUGGUAGGGGAUAACCGCGGGAAACUGCGGCUAAUACCCUAUGUGUCCUUAGGGGCAAAGAUUUAUCGCCAUUGGAGGGGCCCGCGUCGGAUUAGGUAGUUGGUGGGGUAACGGCCUACCAAGCCUUCGAUCCGUAGCUGGUCUGAGAGGAUGAUCAGCCACACUGGGACUGAGAUACGGCCCAGACUCCUACGGGAGGCAGCAGUGGGGAAUAUUGGACAAUGGGGGCAACCCUGAUCCAGCAAUGCGCGUGAGUGAAGAAGGCCUUAGGGUUGUAAAGCUCUUUCGCACGCGACGAUGAUGACGGUAGCGUGAGAAGAAGCCCCGGCUAACUCCGUGCCAGCAGCCGC
rnacentral:rRNA from 1 species